rnacentral:rRNA from 1 species
UACGAAGGUGGCAAGCGUUUGUUCGGAUUUACUGGGCGUAAAGGGAGCGUAGGUGGUUAGGUAAGCCCUCCGGGGAAAUCUUCAGGCUUAACCUGAAAAGGUCGGGGGGGGACUGCCUAGCUAGAGGGCGGGAGAGGAGCGCGGAAUUCCCGGUGUAGCGGUGAAAUGCGUAGAGAUCGGGAGGAAGGCCGGUGGCGAAGGCGGCGCUCUGGAACGUUUCUGACACUGAG